rnacentral:rRNA from 1 species
GUCUUUCCGUUUUAUGAAAAGUCUGGCCUGCCCAAUGAUUUUUAAUGGCCGCGGUAUUUUGACCGUGCGAAGGUAGCAUAAUGAAUAGUCCAUUAAUUGUGGUCUGGAAUGAAAGGUUUGACGAGAGUAGGCUUUCUUAAUAUUAUUGAUUAACUUAAAUUAUUAGUGAAAAUGCUAAUAUGGAAUAGAAGGACGAGAAGACCCUAUAGAGCUUUAUAUUUAUGUUAUUUUUGGUAGUUUUUUAACUUAUUUUGUUGGGGCGACACAAAUUAUAAACAUUUGAAGUUUUUUCUUAUUUAAAGGUUAAAUGAUCCAUUAAUAGUGAUAUUAGACUAAGUUACCUUAGGGAUAACAGCGUAAUUUCAUUUUAGAGUUCUUAUCGAUAAUGAAGUUUGCGACCUCGAUGUUGGAUUAGAAUUUCCUUAUGGCGCAGGAGUUUUAAAGGAUAGUCUGUUCGACUAUUAAAUUUCUACAUGAUCU